UAGCGUUGUGUAGCGGUGUGUAGCAUUGUUUAGCGUUGUGUAGAGUGUGUAGUGUUGUGUAGAGUGAGUAGCGUUCUGUAGUGUUGUGUAGAGUGUAGUGUUGUGUAGCGUUUCAGUGUGUAGCGUUGUGUUGUGUAGAGUGUGUAUCGUUGUUUUGCGGUGUGUAGCGUUGUGUGGCCAUGUUUUAAAAGAU